rnacentral:rRNA from 1 species
AACGAACGCUGGCGGCAGGCUUAACACAUGCAAGUCGAGCGGAUGACGGGAGCUUGCUCCUUGAUUCAGCGGCGGACGGGUGAGUAAUGCCUAGGAAUCUGCCUGGUAGUGGGGGACAACGUUUCGAAAGGAACGCUAAUACCGCAUACGUCCUACGGGAGAAAGCAGGGGACCUUCGGGCCUUGCGCUAUCAGAUGAGCCUAGGUCGGAUUAGCUAGUAGAUGAGGUAAUGGCUCACCUAGGCGACGAUCCGUAACUGGUCUGAGAGGAUGAUCAGUCACACUGGAACUGAGACACGGUCCAGACUCCUAUGGGAGGCAGCAGUGGGGAAUAUUGGACAAUGGGCGAAAGCCUGAUCCAGCCAUGCCGCGUGUGUGAAGAAGGUCUUCGGAUUGUAAAGCACUUUAAGUUGGGAGGAAGGGCAGUAAGCGAAUACCUUGCUGUUUUGACGUUACCGACAGAAUAAGCACCGGCUAACUCUGUGCCAGCCGCCGCAGUAAGAC